UACGGAGGAUGCAAGCGUUAUCCGGAAUGAUUGGGCGUAAAGCGUCCGCAGGUGGCUGUGUAAGUCUGCUGUCAAAGAGCAAAGCUCAACUUUGUAAAGGCAGUGGAAACUACACGGCUAGAGUGCGUUCGGGGCAGAGGGAAUUCCUGGUGGAGCGGUGAAAUGCGUUGAUAUCAUCAGGAACACCGGUGGCGAAAGCGGCUUACUGGGUCUCUUCUGACGCUGAGAAACGAAAGCUAGGGGAGCGAAGGGG
rnacentral:rRNA from 1 species